rnacentral:lncRNA from 1 species
GUGUUCAUGUCUUGGCAUGGAGAGAGCUGUUCUGGUCUGUCACCUCUUCUUCCCUGCACCAUCUAUCUACUGCUUCCUUGAAUAGGUUAUUACAAAAGUGAUGGAAGAUUUUCCCACAAGGAAGCGUUAUCCCUGAAGGACAGCUGAACAGUCAGUGCUUAUUGGGAAUGCUAGGAGAGCUCUUGGACUGAGACUUGAGUGACCACCAAGGUGCAACUGUAGACACAGAGUUCAAAAUGCCCUUAUGUGGAUACAUUCAAAAGUCACUUAGUAGACCUAGACCACAGAUACACAUGCACCUUGUGAUUGCUUGGCCUUCCUGAAGGUCUUAUAUCCCCCCAGGUGUUUGCUACAGUGCUGCUGUGUGGUAGCACUGGCAGAUGUGGAGGACAAACAUGUUCAUGGUUUGGCUGUGGACAGACAAGGACAGAGCCAGGAUCACUGCAACCUCGUCCCUGAUUCCUGGUCACCAGGAGUGCCCAACCUCCUCAAAGCAACCGCCCACCAACACCUGCCAGCAGAUUUGUUGAGCCUCUCAAGAAACUGGAAUGAAAAUAUUUUACUGUUAUUACUGUUCCUGGGAACAACUUGUCAACAUGGACCCACGUUAAUGCAGAAAACUCAAAAUAUGUGGUUUCUGCCUGCCCCGAUCCUGCAGCUGUGUGGUCACAAGGUGGAUCAAUUCAGCUCACUGGCCAAUGGAAAACUCAUUAUUCCCUGAAGUGUAAUUUUUCCACCAGACUGACCAGCUGACUGGAGUCAGACGGGUACCAGAUCCAGUGUAAGGGUUGUGAGGGGAGUACCUGUCCAGUGGCUGCAGGCAGGACCACCUUUUCGCAGCAACCUGCCGUCAACCCAAUGCCACACUGGUGCUGGAAGCGGCUGUUAUGCACCUCUGCACCCUGACAUGGGCUGUGCACAUCUGCACAUCUCCUACUACCUCUGUGAUCCCAGCUGAGUUGGUUUAAGAAGCACGAGUGAGGAAAAAACUAUUUUAUUUUUUGUAAGGUUAGUUUUGUGGUUAAGACAGCUCCUUGUUGGGCUGGCUGAGUGGUGGAGCUGGUCCCUGAGAGAUCUGGACCUCACAGGUGGGACAGGGGGACAGCGUUUUGCAAUGUCUCCGUGAGAGUGGCUUGACUAUAAUGCCAUUUAUUGAGACUUUUAGGCACAGGUGAAUUCAACCUGGAAGAGCAGGUCAGCGUUUUUUGUAGCUCGGAGGCAGAAGAUGUGUGCAAGCGGAGCCCCACCUUACACCGAGUGCUCUGAAGGACACAGACAAGAAGAGUCUGGCAGCAAGGGAGCGACACCUGCACCACUGC